rnacentral:lncRNA from 1 species
CUGACGUAGUGGUCAGGCUGUGUGCACCUGUCCCAACAGACUGAGCUUUCCCUGCCCUUGAGGAAGGACGAUCUCAUGUUAGCAAUUGGAGCUCCUUUCCAACAGGAAAUCAGGCCCUUCCCCAAGAGCUCUCAAGGGUGGUCGGGAAAGGCGUCUGCACCCACUCAUUUCAACUGAACUAGUCAAGUGGACCCUGCUAUAGCCGUGGUUACCUUUGGGAGAGCAAAUUAAUGGAAGGUUCACCUUAUCAGAAGAAUGGUGUCAAAUGCCACUGUCUUUAAGAAAUGGACUCCACCUGGACCUCACCUUCUCCGUUUCUCCUCAUUCUUGCCCAUCUGACGGUGUCUGGAUUCAAGUCUUCCACAGACUCAUGUGAAUACUGAAGGGGGCGUUGGCUGACCACAACCCUGGAAAUAGGGG